UGAAUUUUGGGAUGAGGUCCUGAAAUGUGUGCUGGGCACAGAGCCUGAAUCGGAUUGUGGAAACAUGAAUUUAUUUUAUUUUUACUUUUUAUUUAUUCA